AACAGGAUUAGAUACCCUGGUAGUCCACGCCCUAAACGAUGUCUACUAGUUGUCGGGUUUUAAUUAACUUGGUAACGCAGCUAACGCGUGAAGUAGACCGCCUGGGGAGUACGGUCGCAAGAUUAAAACUCAAAGGAAUUGACGGGGACCCGCACAAGCGGUGGAUGAUGUGGAUUAAUUCGAUGCAACGCGAAAAACCUUACCUACCCUUGACAUGUCAGGAACCUCGGAGAGAUCUGAGGGUGCUCGAAAGAGAGCCUGAACACAGGUGCUGCAUGGCUGUCGUCAGCUCGUGUCGUGAGAUGUUGGGUUAAGUCCCGCAACGAGCGCAACCCUUGUCAUUAGUUGCUACGAAAGGGCACUCUAAUGAGACUGCCGGUGACAAACCGGAGGAAGGUGGGGAUGACGUCAAGUCCUCAUGGCCCUUAUGGGUAGGGCUUCACACGUCAUACAAUGGUACAUACAGAGGGCCGCCAACCCGCGAGGGGGAGCUAAUCCCAGAAAGUGUAUCGUAGUCCGGAUUGUAGUCUGCAACUCGACUACAUGAAGUUGGAAUCGCUAGUAAUCGCGGAUCAGCAUGUCGCGGUGAAUACGUUCCCGGGUCUUGUACACACCGCCCGUCACACCAUGGGAGCGGGUUUUACCAGAAGUAGGUAGCUUAACCGCAAGGAGGGCGCUAACCACGGUAGGAUUCGUGACUGGGGUGAAGUCGUAACAAGGUAACC
rnacentral:rRNA from 1 species